GAUGAAGAACGUAGCGAAAUGCGAUAAGUAAUGUGAAUUGCAGAAUUCAGUGAAUCAUCGAAUCUUUGAACGCACAUUGCGCCCGUCAGUAUUCUGGCGGGCAUGCCUGUUCGAGCGUCAUUACGCCCCUCAAGUCCCCUGUGGACUUGGUGUUGGGGAUCGGCGAGGCUGGUUUUCGAGCACAGCCGUCCCUUAAAUUAAUUGGCGGUCUCGCCGUGGCCCUCCUCUGCGCAGUAGUAAAACACUCGCAACAGGAGCCCGGCGCGGUCCACUGCCGUAAAACCCCCCAACUUUUUAUAGUUGACCUCGAAUCAGGUAGGACUACCCGCUGAACUUAAGCAUAUCAAUAAGCGGAGGA
rnacentral:misc_RNA from 1 species